rnacentral:rRNA from 1 species
AGUGGCGGACGGGUGAGUAACACGUAAGAAUUUGCCUUUAGGAGGGGGACAACAAUUGGAAACGAUUGCUAAUACCCCAUAUGCUUUCGAGUGAAAUGGAUUUUUCCGCCUAAAGAGAAGCUUGCGGCUGAUUAGCUUGUUGGUAAGGUAAUGGCUUACCAAGGCGACGAUCAGUAUCUGGUUUGAGAGGACGAUCAGACACACUGGAACUGAGACACGGUCCAGACUCCUACGGGAGGCAGCAGUGGGGAAUUUUCCGCAAUGGGCGAAAGCCUGACGGAGCAAUCUCGCGUGAGGGAUGACGGCCUAUGGGUUGUAAACCUCUUUUUUCAGGGAGGAAUAAAAUGACGUGUACCUGAAGAAUAAGCAUCGGCUAACUCCGUGCCAGCAGCCGCGGUAAGACGGAGGAUGCAAGUGUUAUCCGGAAUCACUGGGCGUAAAGCGUCUGUAGGUGGUUUAAUAAGUCAACUGUUAAAUCUUGAGGCUCAACCUCAAAAUCGCAGUCGAAACUAUUAGACUAGAGUAUAGUAGGGGUAAAAGGAAAUUUCCAGUGGAGCGGUGAAAUGCGUAGAGAUUGGAAAGAACACCGAUGGCGAAGGCACUUUACUGGGCUAUUACUAACACUCAGAGACGAAAGCUAGGGUAGCAAAUGGGAUUAGAUACCCCAGUAGUCCUAGCCGUAAACGAUGGAUACUAGAUGUUGAACAGAUCGACCUGUGCAGUAUUAAAGCUAACGCGUUAA